rnacentral:lncRNA from 1 species
UUCGGGUGAGCCAAGGUUAGCUCCGUCUUGAAGGCUGUACUUUUACCUAUAAUUGUUAACAUUAAAUAUAUUGUGACCGUGGAUUUUUUCUCAAAUGAUAUGGCUAAAAUUACCCGUUUUCCUUCGAUUUCCUUACUUUAAGAAAGAUCAGUUUUGCUGGAUCCUUGGAGCAAUUUUCAUGCAAACAAUUAUUAUCUGUAUUUUCUGUAUUUAAAGAUAUUUUUUUUAGAAACUGGUAAGUUCAAAAAACAUAUAAAGCAAGAUUAUAAACGCAAGAUAUUUUUUUUU